UGGCGGCGUGCCUAACACAUGCAAGUCGAGCGAGGAGAUCCUUCGGGAUGAUCCUAGCGGCGGACGGGUGAGUAACACGUGGGCAACCUGCCUCAUAGAGAGGAAUAGCCUUCCGAAAGGGAGAUUAAUACCUCAUAACAUUGCAGUUUCGCAUGGAACAGCAAUUAAAGGAGUAAUCCGCUAUGAGAUGGGCCCGCGGCGCAUUAGCUAGUUGGUGAGGUAACGGCUCACCAAGGCGACGAUGCGUAGCCGACCUGAGAGGGUGAUCGGCCACAUUGGGACUGAGACACGGCCCAGACUCCUACGGGAGGCAGCAGUGGGGAAUAUUGCACAAUGGGGGAAACCCUGAUGCAAGCAACGCCGCGUGAGUGAUGACGGCCUUCGGGUUGUAAAGCUCUGUCUUCAGGGACGAUAAUGACGGUACCUGAGGAGGAAGCCACGGCUAACUACGUGCCAGCCGCAGC
rnacentral:rRNA from 1 species